GGAGCAUCAGGACUGAGGUAAAGAUACAGAACAGGAGAGCAGGAGAUGCAUGACAACAACAGACCAAUUGAAACGAGAAAGAGAAAAACAGGCUUAAUUAGACAGGUGGACAAAAAUGUCUUCUUCCUCUGCGUGCAGGCCGACUGUGGUGGGACAUUCAAGCCUAACCAUGAGCAAGAGCACUUAAGAAAUGAAGAGCUUCAGAGGGGAGAGUACCUGAUGUCCAACGAUGGGAGGUGGAAGGCCGUUCUCCAGAUUUCUUUGUAUUGUGGAAGGAUGAUGGUAACUUUGUCCUCUAUGAUGACGGCAGAGCUGUGUGGGCUUCUAACACUCACGGGUCAGAUGGUUAUCGCCUGUGCAUGCAGCCCGACUGCAACCUGGUCAUUUACAACAGGGGUAACGUUCC